UACGGAGGGUGCAAGCGUUAUCCGGAUUCACUGGGUUUAAAGGGUGCGUAGGUGGGCAGGUAAGUCAGUGGUGAAAUCUCCGGGCUUAACCCGGAAACUGCCGUUGAUACUAUCUGCCUUGAAUAUAGUGGAGGUGAGCGGAAUAUGUCAUGUAGCGGUGAAAUGCUUAGAUAUGACAUAGAACACCCAUUGCGAAGGCAGCUCGCUACACUAUCAUUGACACUGAGGCACGAAAGCGUGGGGAUCAAACAGG
rnacentral:rRNA from 1 species